CCUGGGUACUAAGAUUAGUUCCCAUUUUACUGAUUAGGAAAUCGAGGUUAAGAGAGGGUAGGCGAUUUGCCUGAGAUCACACAGCCUCGUGUGUGGCAGAGCCUUAGAUUCCAAGCCAGGCUGUCCGAUGCCAGACCUUCACAGCUAUCCUAUGCUUCCACGGCACCCCGGACUUCCCCUUGGAGCACUUGCCAGUGAAACAAACAUGCCCUGGAGAAAUGCCUGGUUUUUAUUUUACACGGCUCACUGUGGCUUUGACCUCCCAUGCUGAAGCGAUCCUCCUAUCUCAACCUCUCAAGUAGCUGGAAGCACAGGCAUGCACCACCACACCUGGCUAAUUUUUUUCUUCCUUUUUUAAAGAGACAGUCUUGCCAUGUUGCCCAGGCCCUGUUGACCAGGAAAAAAAAAAGUUUUUUUUCUUUUUUAAAGAAAGAAAAUAAAAGAGACUGAGAAACCACAGAAAUAAAGAAGCGCUGAUGACAAUGCCUGCUUGCUGAUGGUUACGAUGAUCAUAGCAGUGUGCAUUUUGUAUGCAUGAAGCCUGCGACUAAAUAAACGUGUGGG
rnacentral:lncRNA from 1 species